ACCUGACGUUUCUCACGUCAGCUACAAAACGUCACACCAAUGUCAUGGGAGCAUAUCGUUAUGCUCAAUGUUUAUUUAGUGACGAAAGUGCUAAAAGUGUAAUUUCAGUGCAAUAAUCGUUGAAAUCGGCCAAAUUUUCAACGAAAAUCGAGGACAUAACCAGUGGUGGUAUUUUGCUGCCAGGAUGCAAUUUUUCUGCGAAAGAUUGACCUGCAGUAACCAUCAAAUCUUCCCGGGAUCAACCAUGAAGCCAUCUUGACUUGCAAGAUGCACUACAGAUAUGGCCAAUUUUACCUAGUGAGCCAUCCACUCAUCGCAUCUCCACCGUCGGCGCUCGGAUGGAAGGCAAAACAUUUAACCCCUCCAUCGUUCCCCGGAUCGGCCAGUGCGACUAUGGAUACCCGUGGUAAAAUA